UACGGAGGGUGCGAGCGUUAAUCGGAAUUACUGGGCGUAAAGCGUGCGUAGGUGGUUCGUUAAGUCUGAUGUGAAAGCCCUGGGCUCAACCUGGGAAUUGCAUUGGAUACUGGCGGGCUAGAGUACGGUAGAGGGUGGCGGAAUUCCUGGUGUAGCAGUGAAAUGCGUAGAUAUCAGGAGGAACAUCCGUGGCGAAGGCGGAUCUCUGGGCCGAUACUGACGCUGAGGAGCGAAAGCGUGGGGAGCGAACAGG
rnacentral:rRNA from 1 species